rnacentral:rRNA from 1 species
GACAGAGGGGGCAAGCGUUGCUCGGAAUUACUGGGCGUAAAGGGCGCGUAGGCGGCUGGGGAAGUCGGCGGUGAAAGCCCGGAGCUCAACUCCGGGUCGGCCGUCGAGACUCCUCGGCUCGAGCUCACUAGAGGCAGAUGGAAUUCCGGGUGUAGCGGUGGAAUGCGUAGAGAUCCGGAAGAACACCGGUGGCGAAGGCGGUCUGCUGGGGUGAGGCUGACGCUGAGGCGCGACAGCGUGGGGAGCAAACAGG